AUGCAGUCGANGAGNNCCAUGGAGCUUGCUCCGGAAGANCUAGUGGCGAANNNNNNAGUAACACGUGAGAAACCUGCCCCGAAGACCGGGAUAACUCUCCGAAAGGAGAGCUAAUACCGGAUACCUUCACCGGACCGCAUGAUUUGGUGAAGAAACGAAUUUCGCUUCGGGAGGGUCUCGCGGCCUAUCAGCUUGUUGGUGAGGUAACGGCUCACCAAGGCAACGACGGGUAGCUGGUCUGAGAGGACGAUCAGCCACACUGGGACUGAGACACGGCCCAGACUCCUACGGGAGGCAGCAGUGGGGAAUCUUGCGCAAUGGGCGAAAGCCUGACGCAGCCACGCCGCGNGGGGGAAGAAUGCCCUCGGGUUGUAAACCCCUUUCAGCAGGGACGAAAUUGACGGUACCUGCAGAAGAAGCCCCGGCCAACUACGUGCCAGCAGCCGCGGUAACACGUAGGGGGCAAGCGUUGUCCGGAUUUAUUGNNCGUAAAGAGCUCGUAGNCGGCUUNNNAAGUCGGUUGUGAAAACUCAGGGCUCAACCCUGAGACGCCAGCCGAUACUGCCAUNGNUAGAGUUCGGUAGAGGAGUACGGAAUUCCCAGUGUAGCGGUGAAAUGCGCAGAUNUUGNNGGAACACCAGUNGCNAAGGCGGUACUCUGGGNNGACACUGACGCUGANGAGCGAAAGCGUGGGUAGCNNNAGGAUUAGAUACCCU
rnacentral:rRNA from 1 species